rnacentral:tRNA from 1 species
GCUGAGGUAGCCAAGCCUGGUAUGGCGCUGGAUUGCUAAUCCAGUGUGUUAUGCACUCGAGAGUUCAAAUCUCUCCCUCAGCGCCA